rnacentral:rRNA from 1 species
GAUGAACGCUAGCGGCAGGCCUAACACAUGCAAGUCGAGGGGUAAAGGAAGCUUGCUUCCUUGAGACCGGCGCACGGGUGCGUAACGCGUAUGCAAUCUACCUUGUACAGAGGAAUAGCCCAGAGAAAUUUGGAUUAAUGCCUCAUAGUAUAAUUGAAUCGCAUGGUUUAAUUAUUAAAGUUUCGGCGGUACAAGAUGAGCAUGCGUCCCAUUAGUUAGUUGGUAAGGUAACGGCUUACCAAGACAAUGAUGGGUAGGGGUCCUGAGAGGGAGAUCCCCCACACUGGUACUGAGACACGGACCAGACUCCUACGGGAGGCAGCAGUGAGGAAUAUUGGGCAAUGGGCGGAAGCCUGACCCAGCCAUGCCGCGUGCAGGAAGACGGUCCUAUGGAUUGUAAACUGCUUUUAUACGGGAAGAAACACCCCCUCGUGAGGG